rnacentral:rRNA from 1 species
UACGUAGGGUGCAAGCGUUGUCCGGAAUUAUUGGGCGUAAAGAGCUCGUAGGCGGUCUGUCGCGUCUGCUGUGAAAACUCAGGGCUUAACCCUGAGCUUGCAGUGGGUACGGGCAGACUAGAGUGCGGUAGGGGAGACUGGAAUUCCUGGUGUAGCGGUGAAAUGCGCAGAUAUCAGGAGGAACACCGGUGGCGAAGGCGGGUCUCUGGGCAGAAACUGACGCUGAGGAGCGAAAGCGUGGGGAGCGAACAGG